UACAGGGGCCCCAAGCGUUAAUCGGAAUUACUGGGCGUAAAGCGCACGUAGGCGGCUUUGUAAGUUAGAGGUGAAAGCCCGGGGCUCAACUCCGGAAUUGCCUUUAAGACUGCAUCGCUAGAAUUGUGGAGAGGUAAGUGGAAUUCCGAGUGUAGAGGUGAAAUUCGUAGAUAUUCGGAAGAACACCAGUGGCGAAGGCGACUUACUGGACACAUAUUGACGCUGAGGUGCGAAAGCGUGGGGAGCAAACAGG
rnacentral:rRNA from 1 species